ACAGUCAAUGUCAUUUGCUUGGUGUAUUAUUUCCCAGUUCUGAGCCAUUAAGUCAUUUUUUAGUGCGUUGAUGGAUUCUUCUGACUUCACUCAUUUGUAUUCUGUUUGUUUAUUUAGCUUAUUCUUGUACUUGCAGUCAUAGAUUGUAAAGACUGGCAAGUUGUCACUGAUAUCAUUAAUCAAUAAUCCACUUAUUGUGUUGUUUUCGAUUUCAUUUGUGAAUACAUUAACAAUGAAAGUGGCACAGUGGGAUGUAAUUCUACUGGGUCUGGUGAUUUUCGGAAUUAGGCUCAUACUGUGUGACGAGAUCUCGUGCCACGAGAUCUCGCGAGAUUUAACUUGACGAUAUUACCCGUCGCGUUAAAAAUCUGUCUCGCGAGAUUUGUGAUUUAUCCAAACUUCUAUUUGUCGCCUGUGGGGGCAGUAAUGCACCAUUGCUACAUCUAGCCUGCCAGAACCUAAAGAAGGAGAAGGAAAAGAAGAGGAGAAGGAGGGGAAGCAGGGGAAGCAUCGAAAGCAGCCAUAAGCUGUGUUCGAAAUCGUUCCCUAUCACGGAUAUAGUGUACUAUAUAGGGUGCUCGCCAUUUUGUAGUGGUGUUCGAAUUCUCAGUGGUUAAUUUCAUGCACUAUAUAGUGCACUUAAAAUACCCAAAAUUUGAGUGUACAUACGAUGUAGCCUACAUGUUACUCCCGUAUACCACAAUGCAAUGCGGUUUUUUAGUUUCAAUUUCAUGCAUGUAAAGAGUUAUAAUAAAACAUUUCAAAAUGCAUGCGCGACUUGGUUAAAUAAAAGUCUGUUGGUCCAGUCAUAUAAUUUGUCAUU